GGGGUAAUAGCUCAGUCGGUAGAGCAGCUGACUCUUAAUCAGCGGGUCGCAGGUUCGAGUCCUGCUUACCCCA
rfam:Chlamydiae bacterium RIFCSPHIGHO2_12_FTLL_49_32 rifcsphigho2_12_scaffold_33745, whole genome shotgun sequence.